UACGAAGGGGGCGAGCGUUGUUCGGAUUUACUGGGCGUAAAGGGCGCGUAGGCGGCGCGAGAAGUCGAGUGUGAAAGCCCCGGGCUUAACCUGGGAAUGGCGUUUGGGACUGGAAGUCUGGAGUGCGGCAGAGGAGACUGGAAUUCCUGGUGUAGCAGUGAAAUGCGUAGAUAUCAGGAGGAACACCGAUGGCGAAGGCAGGUCUCUGGGCUGACACUGACGCUCAUGCACGAAAGCGUGGGGAGCAAACAGG
rnacentral:rRNA from 1 species